UACGUAGGGGGCAAGCGUUGUCCGGAAUCAUUGGGCGUAAAGAGUGUGUAGGCGGCCCGAUAAGUCCGCUGUGAAAGUCCAGGGCUCAACCCUGGAAUGCCGGUGGAUACUGUCGGGCUCGAAUCCGGAAGAGGUGAGUGGAAUUCCUGGUGUAGCGGUGAAAUGCGCAGAUAUCAGGAGGAACACCAAUGGCGAAGGCAGCUCACUGGGACGGUAUUGACGCUGAGACGCGAAAGCGUGGGGAGCAAACAGG
rnacentral:rRNA from 1 species